rnacentral:rRNA from 1 species
AUUGAACGCUGGCGGCAUGCCUUACACAUGCAAGUCGAACGGCAGCACGGGAGCAAUCCUGGUGGCGAGUGGCGAACGGGUGAGUAAUACAUCGGAACGUGCCCAAUCGUGGGGGAUAACGCAGCGAAAGCUGUGCUAAUACCGCAUACGAUCUACGGAUGAAAGCAGGGGAUCGCAAGACCUUGCGCGAAUGGAGCGGCCGAUGGCAGAUUAGGUAGUUGGUGAGGUAAAGGCUCACCAAGCCGUCGAUCUGUAGCUGGUCUGAGAGGACGACCAGCCACACUGGGACUGAGACACGGCCCAGACUCCUACGGGAGGCAGCAGUGGGGAAUUUUGGACAAUGGGCGAAAGCCUGAUCCAGCCAUGCCGCGUGCAGGAUGAAGGCCUUCGGGUUGUAAACUGCUUUUGUACGGAACGAAACGGCCUUUUCUAAUAAAGAGGGCUAAUGACGGUACCGUAAGAAUAAGCACCGGCUAACUACGUGCCAGCAGCCGCGGUAAUACGUAGGGUGCAAGCGUUAAUCGGAAUUACUGGGCGUAAAGCGUGCGCAGGCGGUUAUGUAAGACAGUUGUGAAAUCCCCGGGCUCAACCUGGGAACUGCAUCUGUGACUGCAUAGCUAGAGUACGGUAGAGGGGGAUGGAAUUCCGCGUGUAGCAGUGAAAUGCGUAGAUAUGCGGAGGAACACUGAUGGCGAAGGCAAUCCCCUGGACCUGUACUGACGCUCAUGCACGAAAGCGUGGGGAGCAAACAGG